rnacentral:rRNA from 1 species
UAUCUACAGGCUUAACACAUGCAAGUCGAGGGGCAGCAUGGUCUUAGCUUGCUAAGGCCGAUGGCGACCGGCGCACGGGUGAGUAACACGUAUCCAACCUGCCGUCUACUCUUGGACAGCCUUCUGAAAGGAAGAUUAAUACAAGAUGGCAUCAUGAGUCCGCAUGUUCACAUGAUUAAAGGUAUUCCGGUAGACGAUGGGGAUGCGCUCCAUUAGAUAGUAGGCGGGGUAACGGCCCACCUAGUCUUCGAUGGAUAGGGGUUCUGAGAGGAAGGUCCCCCACAUUGGAACUGAGACACGGUCCAAACUCCUACGGGAGGCAGCAGUGAGGAAUAUUGGUCAAUGGGCGCAGGCCUGAACCAGCCAAGUAGCGUGAAGGAUGACUGCCCUAUGGGUUGUAAACUUCUUUUAUAAAGGAAUAAAGUCGGGUAUGGAUACCCGUUUGCAUGUACUUUAUGAAUAAGGAUCGGCUAACUCCGUGCCAGCAGCCGCGGUAAUACGGAGGAUCCGAGCGUUAUCCGGAUUUAUUGGGUUUAAAGGGAGCGUAGAUGGAUGUUUAAGUCAGUUGUGAAAGUUUGCAGCUCAACCGUAAAAUUGCAGUUGAUACUGGAUAUCUUGAGUGCAGUUGAGGCAGGCGGAAUUCGUGGUGUAGCGGUGAAAUGCUUAGAUAUCACGAAGAACUCCGAUUGCGAAGGCAGCCUGCUAAGCUGCAACUGACAUUGAGGCUCGAAAGUGUGGGUAUCAAACAGGAUUAGAUACCCUGGUAGUCCACACGGUAAACGAUGAAUACUCGCUGUUUGCGAUAUACAGCAAGCGGCCAAGCGAAAGCGUUAAGUAUUCCACCUGGGGAGUACGCCGGCAACGGUGAAACUCAAAGGAAUUGACGGGGGCCCGCACAAGCGGAGGAACAUGUGGUUUAAUUCGAUGAUACGCGAGGAACCUUACCCGGGCUUAAAUUGCAGAUGAAUUACGGUGAAAGCCGUAAGCCGCAAGGCAUCUGUGAAGGUGCUGCAUGGUUGUCGUCAGCUCGUGCCGUGAGGUGUCGGCUUAAGUGCCAUAACGAGCGCAACCCUUGUUGUCAGUUACUAACAGGUUCCGCUGAGGACUCUGACAAGACUGCCAUCGUAAGAUGUGAGGAAGGUGGGGAUGACGUCAAAUCAGCACGGCCCUUACGUCCGGGGCUACACACGUGUUACAAUGGGGGGUACAGAGGGCCGCUACCACGCGAGUGGAUGCCAAUCCCCAAAACCUCUCUCAGUUCGGACUGGAGUCUGCAACCCGACUCCACGAAGCUGGAUUCGCUAGUAAUCGCGCAUCAGCCACGGCGCGGUGAAUACGUUCCCGGGCCUUGUACACACCGCCCGUCAAGCCAUGGGAGCCGGGGGUACCUGAAGUGCGUAACCGCGAGGAGCGCCCUAGGGUAAAACUGGUGACUGGGGCU